rnacentral:piRNA from 1 species
UAAAUUGAGGCUCAAAAUGCCCUGGGAUGG